GUUAAUGUAGUUUAAAAUAAAAUAUUAGACUGUGGCUCUAAAGACAGAAGUUUAAACCUUCUUAUAAACC
ensembl:Mt_tRNA